UUUAAUAUUUUACUAUAUCAGUCAAUAAAUAGCUAUAUAUAGAGAGUUUCCAUCAAAGUUGGGUGGCGUGCCACCCCACGGACCUUAAUAGAUCUGUCCUGGUUCUGUGUAUAGUGUUUGGACAUUUGGUCCAAUAGAUAGUGGUUAAGGAUUUGCUCUUCAGUAUACAAAAAGAGAUGAGAUAAGAGCAAAAUCUAAUUUUUUUUGCAAUCGCUAAAAGGAUUCUUCGCUCAAGCAAAAAGUCAUUUUUACAAAAAGAGUAGCUGCUUAUCUCAACAAAGAGACCCGAUCGAGUUGAAACUUCAAUCUUCGUUGUGUUGAGGAGUAUUGAGUCUUUUGUCCUUGAAAUUGUAAAUCUACUCCUAUGUUAUUAAGGAUUGUAGAUUUUGAUCUUGUUUACGUCUUAAGCUGAAUCGAAGAAAUUAGAUUUAGUUGUAGGGCCAGCCUUAUUGUAUUCGAGUUCUUUUCAACAUGAUUUGUGCUAUUCUGAGUAGAGUUACCUAGUACUGUCAACUAGAGUUAGUUGAUCUGUUGAAGUACGGUAGAGUUGCUGCACAAGUCCUUUGAUUUGAAGUUAGUGGAGUUUGCUGGAAAUUUUGUGAAAAAAUAUCUGUGAUUUUUCCUUCCUUAAACAAGGAGGUUCCUCGUAAAUAUUUUGUGUUAUUUACUUUCAGCACUACUCUCAAUGGGGAGAUAUUGUAAUACCCCGUAUAUUCCUAGCU
rnacentral:lncRNA from 1 species